ACUGCUAGUUUCACUGUCCAUCUUCCAACACAUGAUUCUACCAUCUUUGUGUCCACUCCAUAGCAACCUAUUCCCAGCAUCUUCAACAAGGCACAAAGUUGGUGAAGUCCUACCAGACUCCAGAAAAGGUGCGGCAUCCUCAAAGUCCUCAUUCUCUUCUUCUUCUUGAGCAGCCUCAUACAUAUCCGGUAAAUUCCACAGCCUAACUCCACACUCCGACCCAGCCCAUAGCUGAGAUCCAUCGUCCGUACACAAUAUAGUCCUCAAAAAUCUCCCAAUUUGUCUUUCUCUCAACGGGUGUGGCCGUAAUUCCAACGACGGCGGACGAUCAGGAUGCACAGCGGCACGUACCGGCAACUUAAAAAUCCCAGCACCACCACCUUUACCUGAAAACUCCGGAAGACCUUGAGACUGACUCUUAACAUUAUUAUUACUAUUAAAACCAGCUGUUUCCG
rnacentral:misc_RNA from 1 species